GAUGAACGCUGGCGGUGUGCUUAACACAUGCAAGUCGAACGCACAGCCUCGGAUACUUCGGUAAUUGAGGUGGGUGAGUGGCGAACGGGUGCGUAACACGUAGGAACCUGCCUUGGAGAGGGGGACAACCGUUGGAAACGACGGCUAAUCCCGCAUGGUCCCGCAAGGGUAAAGCUUCGGCGCUCCAAGAUGGGCCUGCGGCCUAUCAGGUAGUUGGUGGGGUAAUGGCCUACCAAGCCGACGACGGGUAGGGGCGUGAGAGCGUGGCCCCCCCACACGGGAACUGAGACACGGUCCCGACGCCUACGGGCGGCAGCAGUGAGGAAUCUUGCACAAUGGGGGAAACCCUGAUGCAGCGACACCGCGUGCGGGAUGAAGGCCUUCGGGUCGUAAACCGCUUUUCUGAGGGACGAGGAAGGACGGUACCUCAGGAAGUAAGUCCCGGCUAACUACGUGCCAGCAG
rnacentral:rRNA from 1 species